UGGGUCUAAUACCGGAUAGGACUCCGGGCUUCAUGGGGUGGGGUGGAAAGCUUUUGCGGUGUGGGAUGGGCCCGCGGCCUAUCAGCUUGUUGGUGGGGUAAUGGCCUACCAAGGCGACGACGGGUAGCCGGCCUGAGAGGGUGACCGGCCACACUGGGACUGAGAUACGGCCCAGACUCCUACGGGAGGCAGCAGUGGGGAAUAUUGCACAAUGGGCGCAAGCCUGAUGCAGCGACGCCGCGUGAGGGAUGACGGCCUUCGGGUUGUAAACCUCUUUCAGCACAGACGAAGCGCAAGUGACGGUAUGUGCAGAAGAAGGACCGGCCAACUACGUGCCAGCAGCCGCGGUAAUACGUAGGGUCCGAGCGUUGUCCGGAAUUACUGGGCGUAAAGAGCUCGUAGGUGGUUUGUCGCGUUGUUCGUGAAAACUCACAGCUUAACUGUGGGCGUGCGGGCGAUACGGGCAGACUGGAGUACUGCAGGGGAGACUGGAAUUCCUGGUGUAGCGGUGGAAUGCGCAGAUAUCAGGAGGAACACCGGUGGC
rnacentral:rRNA from 1 species